CUCUCAGUGUUGCUGUAAAAGACAGGAGGAUCUGUGUGCGCGUUCAAGGUGCGGCCUGAUGUCAUCCUUCAGGGUGGAAACCUGCAUGGAAACCAAGCAAAACUCUCUGGAGCUUUCCCAACAGUCUGCAGUGGAAGAAGUGAGAGAAACUAAGCUACAUCCUGGAAGACUGGAGGUGGAGAGAAGGAAGUUUUAGCCUUCCCAGCAACCUUAAACUUUCCUGCCAAAGGGGAACUGGUGGAAAAAGAAAAGUUUCUUCCAAGCAUUAAGACUGUGAUGUCAGUCAGCUUCAGAGAAACAGCAUCAGAUCACCUGAGAAUCAGCAUGCAAGCCUCAGGUUUGAAAGGCACCAGGACACCUGCAAGAGGAGCCCCAGUUGUGCCUCCUCCAUGAUGAGGCUCAUACAGAGGUGCAGCCCCUCAGAUGGUGACAGGGGGACAGCAACCAGUGCCCUCACAGCACUGUCACUGUGUGUGACAGUGGUCAUGAAGCAGGGAUGGGAAGUGCUGCCUGGACUGCCCCCAGCAGAAAGCCCCGUGGUGUCCCUUCCCCGCUGGUGCAGAGGCUCCGGGCUGCCACCGCAGAUCAUUUGACAAAUUUCACGGGCUUUUGAUACAGGCACAAAGGUUCACAGCCUGCUCGUCUAGUUGGUGAGACCAUCCAGUCCCUCUUGUGUCAUUUGUGGUGGCAUUGCAGACUUUGAGAACAAUCUGAAGGACAAACCCCAAGCUGUUUGGAUGCUGCUCAGCCCCAAAUACGUGAGAAGAGCUAUUCCGAUGUGUCUUCUCUGCACUGCAAUGCAGGGAUGGAGCUAAGGAUGAGCAAUGGGAGCACUGUCAGGAUUACAGCCAGGGCUAUCCCAAGAAGACAGGGGGGCCAGGAGCUGUUUUUUGGAAGAGGAGUUUGUCCAUUAACUCAGUCAGCUGGAGUGGAAAUAAAAAGGAGCAGCCCUGCUGGUCGGAUGGGCAGAUGAUGGCACCGACAGAGGCUUCCCAGUGUGACACCCCAAGGCUGCCCCUUCCUUGGGCCAGCGUCCUCAUCCCGCAGCUGUUUUCUCAGGCUACAAUAUGUGAGGAAAGCUGAUGCUGCUGUGCUGCUUAACUGGCAAGAAUUUGAAAAGAGGAAGCAAGUCGCAAGUCUGAAUUCCUGUUUAGAAAGAAGUGGCAAAGAACAGCCAUUCUUCACCUGAAGGAAAACCACUUGUCUGGCAGAGGCAGAGCUCUUCAAAAGUUACCAGCGUGAGGGUUCCUGUUUACAACGGUGAAGAGUAACUCACAUAAACUCCUGAAGGACCCACAAGCAUUGGCUGACUAACUACUUAGCAGAAUGAGAACAAUGAGCAUCAGGUAACGGGAUACAAGUGGAAAACUCUCUGUGAUGCCCAUGGAUAUCAGUACAAACCCCCUCUUUCAAUGCCAAGGUUAUGGGACUGACUGCAGGACUCAUUUUUGCUCAGUGUUGGGUCACCGCAUACGACAACAACAGUUAAGAAGAAAUUUGGUUGAUGUCUCAUUUUGAGGGACUCUACUACUGCCAGCCUCCUGACUCCAGACUUGCAGAAAGCAGUAGAUUGAAAGGCGGCUUCUGAAAGAGGGGCAUCUCUGCCUAAAAUCAAUUGUAACUAAAAACCUGAAAAUUGAUGGAUUUACA